rnacentral:lncRNA from 1 species
AAAAAAAAACAAAAGAAAUUUCAAUUGAAAACAAUUAAAAAAAAAGGACUUGUGUUGGAUUGGCACUACAAAUAUAAUCCAAACCAAAUAAAAUCGAUAGAAAAAAGUAUAGAUGAGAGAAUAAAUAAAGAAUAAGUGGAAAACAAAACUACAAUUUACUUAGAUUUAUUGAAUCCAUAAUGGAUUCAAUCAAGUUAAGUGAUAAAAGAAAACUUGAUUU